CCUGACUCAAGUGUCUGAUCUCUGCCUGUCCAAGAUGGCUGCUGCUCUGCACAGGGUUUCCUCCGCUCUCUACAAUGGGCUGCUGGGCUGCUGGGCUGCUGGGCUGCUGGGACAAAGAGCAGCAUCAUAUGCGGAGAUUUGUCGGUUGGAGGUGGAACCCCUCAGAACGUCCAUCUUUUGCUGAAACACACCAAGCCUUUGAGACCAUGUUCAGCAUCUCUGACGCUUUGUGCUUAAGGGUGACUCACCCUCAGUAGUCCACCCCAUCCCAAGCUGUCUGCCUGCCAGCUCCAGCUUGUGAUCUCAAAGCCGUGUCUCUACCACUCAGCACCCUAUAAGUGGUGUGGUGGAAGCUACAGCGCACAGAGAGAGGGACUCGAGAGGGACUAAAUCAACAUGCAGCUAGAUUAUGCUGUUUGCUUUUCCGUCUCAACUGAUGCCUAAAAAUCAUCAUGAUCAUUUGCCAAGAUAGGUUUGGUCCCUGCAUGUGCUGCUAAAUGAGGAGCUGGCACACAUUGGAUCCUCAUGCAGUGGGGAAUUUAAAGCACAUCUUUAUAGAAAUAAAAAGGCUUCUUUCA